rnacentral:rRNA from 1 species
AUGGUGAGGUCGAGUAGAGAAGCCAAGACAUUGGAUUUGUUAGUUGACGAGGAGAACAAGAUUCAGACAUUAUAUCCUGAUAUCAUACUAAAAGGAUGCCCAACUGCAGAUGGAAAUGAGGAUGAAGAAGAAGGAGAGGAUGCAGAUCAUGAUGCAGAGAAUGCAGAGGAAGGAGAGGAUGCAGAGGCAGAUCAUGAUGCAGAGAAUGCAAUGGAAGGAGAGGAUGCAGAGGCAGAUCAUGAUGCAGAUGCAGAGAAUGCAGAUAAUGCAGUUGAAAACAAUGAUGGAGAAGAAGAGUUGAAUGAAACUGACUCAGACUUUUAUGAGAGUGACUAUGAUUGUGAAGAUGGAGAUGAUGAUUUCUUUGCUUAG